UACCAUACAAACAGGUAACCAUUAACACCUAGUGCCUGUUUCCAUGGACACAGGUAGCCAUAGAUACAUAUACACCUUGUGUUGGUUACCGUACAUGUAACCACAGACAUAUAUACACCUAUGUGUACAGCCUAAGACAGUGGCUGUUACCCUUCUAAAUCAAUUACUUAUUUGUUUGUUGAUAGACAAUUACCGGUUAUUAAUGACCUAUAGUGUAUGUACAGAGUAACGAACCGUUAACAUGAGCAGAGACAUCUACUGGUGCUCCUUACAAGAGUUGUACAUCUUCAUUUUUCCUCAUUUUUGAGGUUCUCUCUUAGUUUUUAGAUAUAUUCUCAGGUUUAAUUUAUCAUUAGAUCUGAUUGAAAGUCAUGGUUUUUAAACAGACUUUCCUCUUGGCAUAGUUAGGUUACUACUGAACCUCUGCUGUACGUUCAGAGGUUUGAGAAUAAAUGUUAAAUAUGUGUAUUUAUGUAACUUGUGGGCAUAUGUGUGCAGGUUGUGUGAUGUGUGUAUUCAAUUUGUGGACAUAUGUGUGCAGGUUGUGUGAUGUGUGUAUUCACUUCGUGGACAUAUGUGUGCAGGUUGCUUUGUGACACAUGUGUAUUCAAUUUGUGCACAUAUGUGUACUUGAAGUUUUUGCCACCUAGUAGUAUAAAUCAAAUUGUUUAAAACAUUGGUUAUUUCUUUUAAUGUACAAAUCAUCAUUAUUUUUUUUAUUUAUAAAACAUUUUACGCAAGAUGUAAUAAUGUAAAAUUAAAGACAUGUUGGUAUUACAACCAUUUACAUAUGUGUUUCACAUGUGUAGCAUUUAUACAUAUGUGCAGGUAACAUUUACUUCCAUAUGUACAGCUUACAAAACAUAUGUGCAGGUUACAUGUUCGUCAUCAGAACACAGGUGGCCAGUUAGUAUAAUCUCAUCAUCGUACAUUUAAUUUGUCCGAUAUGUUAGUUUCUAUGAUAUAUAUAUAUAUAUGUUAUGAAUUUUAAUUAAGAAUUUUUAAGACAAUGUAUUGUUGUUGAUAAACCAUUGUAGUUGAUUGUAUGAACAUGUGCUAGUUCACUGUUUUCUAUACCUGAUAUGGUUGUCCUGUUUAGAAGGUUUUUGUCUAUAAUGAUGUGUUUUGGUCCUGUAUCUCGUUCCGUUGUGUUACUAUACAUCUCAUACAGGACAUGUUCAUACAAUGUAUCUUACUUAUGUAGCAAUGUAUUUUCAGUGCAUUGUAUUCUGUGUAUGUACAAAUGUAUACAUACAUGAUGUAUUUUGAUUGUAAUUUGUAUUUUAACUACCUGCAGCAGUACCAGUAUACUGGUCAGUUUCUAAGCUGACCAUUGGUCAGUAUCUGAGUUAACACUGGUCAAGAUUUAAUCUGAGUGACCAUUGGUCAGUAUCUGAGUUAACACUGGUCAAGAUUUAAGCUGAGUGACCAUUGGUCAGUAUCUGAGUUAACACUGGUAAAGAUUUAAUCUGAGUGACCAUUGGUCAGUAUCUGAGUUAACACUGGUCAAUAAUUAACCUGAGUGACCAUUGGUCAGUAUCUGAGUGAACACUGGUCAAUAUUUAACCUGAGUGACCAUGGGUCAGUAUCUUAUUCACCACUGGUCAAUAUUUUAUCUGAGUGUUUCUAACCUGAAUGACCAUUGGUUAGAGUAUAAUAACAAAUGGACAUUGAUUUCAUUAUCUGCAUUAUUGACUGACCGACUUAUGACCAGUACAGAUUUUCCAACAGAAGGUAAGUUCUCUUCCCACCUGUGGGGCGGGGGUGGGGGUGGGGGGAGUAAAUCAUGUAGAAAGAGAGACUUUGUACAAAGUUAACAAUAGUGGACAAAGAGGAAGUUUAAGUAAUAGAGGGACCAUGUCUGCUUAGAGAUUGAUACGGAGGCUGGGUCUAUCUGGAGAAAUUAGGUAUUAAUACGGAGGCUGGACCAUCUACAGAACUUAGAGAUUGAUACGGAGGUUGGGGCCAUCUACAGAACCUAGAGAUUGAUACGGAGGCUGGGGCUAUCUUCAGAACCUAGAGACUGAUACAGAGGCUGGGGCUAUCUACAGAGGGGGUUACCUUUUAUAUCCCGGUGUCUUAACACCUUUACAGGUAUAUGGGUCAUCCUGGCAGUUCCUGCUGUGAUUAGGUACACGUACGUUCUCAGCACCCUUGUUACAUGUUAUGAUGAAAUCGAAAGCUCUGUACGCGCCCCCUUGCGGAUGAUACAAGCAACUAGUUUGAUCCUUUGAUAUACGUCAAAAGAAUCGUGCGGCACCAUAACGGUAAAAAUUACUGGUUUUGAAGCCUGGUGUCGCUCCUGCCUAGCCAUUGGUAAGCUUUUUUUCACCGGAAACUAAUCAAAUAGCUAACCGAGUCAAAUAGCUAACCGAGUCAAAUAGCUAACCGAGUACCUUCAAAUUUGCCAUAACAUAUUCCAGGGGGCAGACAGCUAAGUGAGCGUAACACCAGGAAUUUCGAGGAAGAUAGUGGGUGGGGGUAUACAAAUACUUGUGGAAAAAACUUACCGUUAUUUAGUUUAUCUAAUUAUUAUAUGAGACAUUAUUAUAUUGGACAAUAUGAACCAUAUACACUCGCCUUCUGAACAGCUAAUGACUGCGAAAUGUACCUCAUAACCCUCUAACUCAACAUUACGUUUACAAAUAUCGUUUGUAUUUGUUGUUCAAUUUCAGGUGAGCAUACGGGCCAUUUGGACCUUUUGUUAACACGAUAUCACUAACUAUUUACACAGGGAAGAAACCUAUGAUGACAUUUUUGGUGCAAAUUAGAUAUUUGAUGGAUCAUAAUAUCUACGUGUCUUGUAUUUAGAUAAAAAUUGAUUUUGACAUUUUUCACCUUACCAUUUGGCAAUUGACAUAAGGUCAUACCUUGACCUUUCCUGACCUUGACCGGGAGAGUUGUCAUGACACAUCACGUGAUUUUGUUUCCUACUACAUAUGCAAUAUCAGUAAUUUUUUACGGGUGAAUUUUGAUGAGAAACGGGUUGUACCAGGUGUAGUAUCAUUUAUUCAUACAUAUGUGCUUUGAAACUGAAUUCUGCUCGCAAGCUUAAUGUGUUGAGGGCCGGUAAGGGAGGUACUCCACUGCUCAGGGACCUUUUCCCACUUUCUCCACUUUGUAUACCUCAGUUCCGUAGGUAGACAUUGUUCUUUUAGGUGUAAAUAUGUUCCUAAUAUCUCGUUUCAGUAAAUUUGCGACACGUAAUUAAGAUAACUGUAUAUUUGUUAAAUCUAUCUCGUCACGGU